AUUGAACGCUGGCGGCAGGCCUAACACAUGCAAGUCGAGCGGAUGAGAAGAGCUUGCUCUUCGAGUUAGCGGCGGACGGGUGAGUAAUGCCUAGGAAUCUGCCUGGUAGUGGGGGACAACGUUUCGAAAGGAACGCUAAUACCGCAUACGUCCUACGGGAGAAAGCAGGGGACCUUCGGGCCUUGCGCUAUCAGAUGAGCCUAGGUCGGAUUAGCUAGUUGGUGAGGUAAUGGCUCACCAAGGCGACGAUCCGUAACUGGUCUGAGAGGAUGAUCAGUCACACUGGAACUGAGACACGGUCCAGACUCCUACGGGAGGCAGCAGUGGGGAAUAUUGGACAAUGGGCGAAAGCCUGAUCCAGCCAUGCCGCGUGUGUGAAGAAGGUCUUCGGAUUGUAAAGCACUUUAAGUUGGGAGGAAGGGCAGUAAGCGAAUACCUUGCUGUUUUGACGUUACCAACAGAAUAAGCACCGGCUAACUCUGUGCCAGCCGCCGCCGUAAGAC
rnacentral:rRNA from 1 species